AUGCUCACUUAAGCAAUACAUAUACUAAAAUCGGAACAAUACAGAGAUUAGCAUGGCCCCUAUACAAAGAUGGCAUGUAAAUUCGUGACACAUUCCAUACUUUU
ensembl:snRNA U6 U6 spliceosomal RNA